GAUGAACGCUGGCGGCGCGCCUAACACAUGCAAGUCGAACGAUUAAAGCACCUUCGGGUGUGUAUAAAGUGGCGAACGGCUGAGUAACACGUAGGCAACCUGCCCCUUUCAUUGGGAUAGCCACGGGAAACCGUGGAUAAUACCGAAUACUUCGAGACUUCCGCAUGGAAGACUCGAGAAAGCUCCGGCGGAGAGGGAUGGGCCCGCGGCCUGUUAGCUUGUUGGUGGGGUAACGGCCUACCAAGGCAAUGAUGGGUAGCUGGGUUGAGAGACCGACCAGCCAGAUUGGGACUGAGACACGGCCCAGACUCCUACGGGAGGCAGCAGUGGGGAAUCUUGCACAAUGGGCGAAAGCCUGAUGCAGCGACGCCGCGUGCGGGAUGAAGGCCUUCGGGUUGUAAACCGCUUUCAGCAGGGACGAGGCGAAAGUGACGGUACCUGCAGAAGAAGCCCCGGCUAACUACGUG
rnacentral:rRNA from 1 species